AAAAAGACAAACCCUAGGUUUCUGUAUCCAAUAUUUAAUUGUCCGUCUUAUAUGAAAUUUUUUUAUAAUUAGUAUUUUUAUUGUUGUUAGAUGAUAAAACAUAAUUAAUACUUUAUACGUGACUUAUCUUUUUGAUUUUUUCAUAAUUUUUUCAAAUAAGACAGACGGUCAAACAUUAGACACGAAAACAUAGGGUUUGUCUUUUU
rfam:Oryza nivara chromosome 9, whole genome shotgun sequence.